rnacentral:lncRNA from 1 species
UAGUCUGUAAUAGUAGCUAUUUUUAUUAAUUAAAUAUCAUUAGUGUGCCUGUCUUCAUUUAAAAAUAUGAAAACAUCCAGCUAAAGAAAAACAUUAUAGAUAAGUGUUCUAAACUACUUUGGUUAUUUACUUACUUUUGUGAAACUUUCUGUGUAGUUUCUUUACCCAGUUGAAGACAGAAAGACUUUUACAGGAAGUCGCCUCUUGCUAGUUUCAGAAGAUAAAUAUGUUGAACAAUUUGACAUUCAUGUUGUUGCAGAAGAAGAACACAAAGUGGUGAUACAAAACUCGGGUCAGCUUCCAAGAGCCAGAGUUGCAGAUGAUC